GAGUGAGGCAGACAUGCUAGGUGUGUUCUGAAGCCAUCCGAAGCCAUCCACUAAGAAAUAUUGUACAGGCAACGCCCCCACAGGACAGCUCUGCCUGGUGAUGCGAGACACUCCGUGGGUACGGGACAGGAUCGGCCUGCCGAGAGACGACACCAGCUGUGGGCGGAGCCUUGCCCUGACUCUGGUGCCGUUGGUGAAGGUCGUCCCCCUCUCCAGCCCCGCACAGGAGCGCCCGUCUCCAAGCAGCACAGUACCGAGAGGACACUGGCACCUGAAGCUGCCAGGCACAUUACGGCACUGGAAGGCACAGGGGUUUGGUGUCUGCUGGCACUCAUCAACGUCUGAAAGCGGUCAACCCAACACCCAGUACUUUACACUUCUUAAGUUCCAUGACUUCCUAAGCUGUCGAUAACCCGGGGACCCUGAGUUAAAACCACUGACCGAUGCAGCGAUGUCCUGACAGCUGGUAUCCUUGGUGACAGAUGCAGCGGAAGGAGCCCAGAGUGUUGAGACACUGAUGUUGGCACGGGGAGAGGGAAGACUCCUGGCACUCAUCCAAAUCUGAAACACACAAUCGACACAUCUGGCUUUAUACAUCUAAUGCCCACACCAGUAUAAUAUAUGUGAAAACUGUAUGGGAAGCGGUGAGAGUUGUCGUAAUGAAUUAUCGCAGGAACGACUAUAAGUGAUUAAACAAAGAAAGGAAACACGCACAACUACAGUAGAGGAUAAGUUGUUCUGAAAUGUUGUGCAGACAGUGAUUAGCAGUGACUUGCCUUCACAGCUGGUUCCUGUGAUGCUGGGCUUAAAUCCUGGUCCGCACUUGGCCUGGCAGCGAUAUGUGCCCACUGUGUUGACACACUGCUGGUUGUAGUGGCACAUGUGUGAGCCCUGGGAACACUCAUCAAUAUCUGGUAUAAAGCGAAACACAAGUAAGUGCUGAGGGGAACAUGAAUAAGAUCAUUUUUAAUUAGCUUAACUAGGACAUUACCAAUUUAUAUCUGGUAAUUAAUCACAAAACUUGUUUGUGUCUUACCCUGGCAUGUGUUGGUCUCAGUAGACAUGGUGAAGCCGGAGGGACAGGCACAGGAGAAGCCUCCCAUGAUGUUGUUACAUGAGUGAGAGCAGGGGGACUGGAGAGCACACUCAUCUUCAUCUAAUAAGGACACAUUGAAUCAUUAAAAGAAACGGGGACAGAGACAUGUGUUCAAGAUAAAGCAGGUUAAAAAAAAGAAAAUAAAUCAGCA